rnacentral:rRNA from 1 species
UACGUAGGGUGCAAGCGUUAAUCGGAAUUACUGGGCGUAAAGCGUGCGCAGGCGGUUUUGUAAGUCAGAUGUGAAAUCCCCGGGCUUAACCUGGGAACUGCGUUUGAAACUACAAGGCUAGAGUGUGGCAGAGGGGGGUGGAAUUCCACGUGUAGCAGUGAAAUGCGUAGAGAUGUGGAGGAACACCUGUGGCGAAGGCGGCCCCCUGGUUGGAUACUGACGCUGAGACGCGAAAGCGUGGGGAGCAAACAGG